AUUGAACGCUGGCGGCAUGCCUUACACAUGCAAGUCGAACGGCAGCGGACCUUCGGGUGCCGGCGAGUGGCGAACGGGUGAGUAAUGCAUCGGAACGUGCCAUUGAGUGGGGGAUAACGUAGCGAAAGUUACGCUAAUACCGCAUAUUCUGUGAGCAGGAAAGCAGGGGACCGCAAGGCCUUGCGCUCUUUGAGCGGCCGAUGUCAGAUUAGCUAGUUGGUGAGGUAAAGGCUUACCAAGGCGACGAUCUGUAGCGGGUCUGAGAGGAUGAUCCGCCACACUGGAACUGAGACACGGUCCAGACUCCUACGGGAGGCAGCAGUGGGGAAUUUUGGACAAUGGGCGCAAGCCUGAUCCAGCCAUGCCGCGUGAGUGAAGAAGGCC
rnacentral:rRNA from 1 species